rnacentral:lncRNA from 1 species
CGAGCUCAGGCUGCCGAAACGCGCGGCCGGGGAUUUGCUCCCAACGCCGCAGCCCCGGGAGCGAGUCCCUAUCGCUCGCCCCAGCCCCUCCGGCCGGGGAACACGGCCCGCCGGCAUCUUCCUCUCCCAGGUGCCACCAAAAUCGCAGCCACCGGAGCCAUGUCUGCCGCCACCGCGAAGGCCGCGAGCGCCCGGACGGCUGCCACCACCGCCGCCGGGGUCCAGCCCGUCCUCGCCACGCUGGAGCCGCAGGACGCCAGGGCCAACGACUGCGCCUGCAAGGGGCCGGAUAAUCCGGAGGAGAAGCCACCCAUCCCACACGAGCCCUCGGAAAAGGUGGUGGCAGAGACCAGGGAGCCGGUGGCGGCCGC